GUUGCGAGGUUAUGUUUUUACAAAAGCAAACAGUUCAAAAUUACUUGUUUUGAUCACUGAUCUAACAACUUUAUACGCAGCUGAAUGACUUGGAAAAACACACCUCCAGCGCUGACUGCUUAGGCUGGUUUACAAAUGUUUCUCUGGUACUACAACAAGAAAGAACAAGCCUGAAAACUUAACAGCAACUUGCACAAAAACCUUGCGGGAGUUUCUGAAACAGGGUACUAAAUAGAACGUGACCAAAGCCAGCAUCCGAAAAGGAUGCUGCAAGAAGUAUGUUCUCCACAGCAAUGUUACUCAAUUUGGCAUGUAUUGUUUUAAACCCUUUCCUGGGUUGUCAGCGUAUCGAUGUGAUUUUCCCCAUUUAGUAAUUGACUCCGUGGUUCUUCAUCUACGGUGUCUUUAUCUUUAAUUACUUGUUUAGGAUCCACAAAGCUUGGCUGAUUUGUUGACGACAGAAGUCUUGCCCACAUUCUAUCAGUAAUUACAACCUUGUUCUGUCUCUCAGUCACCCGAUGAAAUGG
rnacentral:misc_RNA from 1 species